GUCCCGGUCGUCCAGUCCGGUCUAGGACCCCAGAUUUUCAUUCUGGUAACACGGGUUCGAAUCCCGUCCGGGAUACCA
rnacentral:tRNA from 1 species